rnacentral:rRNA from 1 species
ACGAACGCUGGCGGCGUGCUUAACACAUGCAAGUCGAGCGGUAAGGCCCUUUCGGGGGUACACGAGCGGCGAACGGGUGAGUAACACGUGGGUGACCUGCCCUCAGCUCUGGGAUAAGCCUGGGAAACCGGGUCUAAUACCGGAUAUGACUCCAUGACGCAUGUUGUGGGGUGGAAAGCCUUGUGCGGCUGAGGAUGGGCCCGCGGCCUAUCAGCUUGUUGGUGGGGUGAUGGCCUACCAAGGCGACGACGGGUAGCCGGCCUGAGAGGGCGACCGGCCACACUGGGACUGAGACACGGCCCAGACUCCUACGGGAGGCAGCAGUGGGGAAUCUUGCGCAAUGGGCGAAAGCCUGACGCAGCGACGCCGCGUGA